rnacentral:rRNA from 1 species
UACGAAGGGGGCUAGCGUUGCUCGGAAUCACUGGGCGUAAAGCGCACGUAGGCGGAUUGUUAAGUCAGGGGUGAAAUCCUGGAGCUCAACUCCAGAACUGCCUUUGAUACUGGCGAUCUUGAGUCCGGGAGAGGUGAGUGGAACUGCGAGUGUAGAGGUGAAAUACGUAGAUAUUCGCAAGAACACCAGUGGCGAAGGCGGCUCACUGGCCCGGUACUGACGCUGAGGUGCGAAAGCGUGGGGAGCAAACAGG